UACGUAGGGACCAAGCGUUGUCCGGAUUUAUUGGGCGUAAAGAGCUCGUAGGCGGUUAUCCACGUCGGAUGUGAAAGCUCAGGGCUCAACCCUGGGACGCCAUUCGAUACGGGAUGGCUAGAGGUAGGUAGGGGAAAGUGGAAUUCCUGGUGUAGCGGUGAAAUGCGUAGAUAUCGAGAGGAACACCUGCGGCGAAGGCGGGUAGCUGGGCCGACACUGACGCUGAUGCGCGAAAGCCAGGGGAGCGAACAGG
rnacentral:rRNA from 1 species